GGUAGUAUGCCGGAGUGGUUAACGGGUAGAAUUUGAACCUCUUUCUCAAGCCAUUCUAUGGGUUCGCCCUCGCAGGUUCGAAUCCUGCUACUAUCG
rnacentral:tRNA from 2 species